UACAGGGGGGGCAAGCGUUGUUCGGAAUUACUGGGCGUAAAGGGCUCGUAGGUGGCCAACUAAGUCGGACGUGAAAUCCCUCAGCUUAACUGGGGAACUGCAUCCGAUACUGGAUGGCUUGAGUUUGGGAGAGGGAUGCGGAAUUCCAGGUGUAGCGGUGAAAUGCGUAGAUAUCUGGAGGAACACCGGUGGCGAAGGCGGCAUCCUGGACCGACACUGACACUGAGGAGCGAAAGCCAGGGGAGCAAACGGG
rnacentral:rRNA from 1 species